GUGAGGCAGACCAUUAGCAGAUAAUUGUCAUAAUCUUGAUACUAAAUGGAGACCAGAAUUAAGUUGAAGUCAGAAGGCAAAGGAUCCUUUGACGUACUCCAUUCAGAGCAGAAGGAGAAGAAUGCAGAGUGAAUCUGCAGGGACAAAAAGAAGAUGCAGCACAAUGGAGACACGGUUUAAUGCCACAGGGGACCUGUGCUCUUUUCCUCUCUCCUAUGUAAAGAGAAUUUCCUCCAUCCAAGUAAAACUGAUGGGAUCGGUCAGAUUUCUAGACAACAGAUAUAAAUAAUUAGCUCUGUGAA